AAGGAUUUAAGUUAAAAAAACUCGCAACCUUCAAAGUUGCAAAUAAAGGAAAAGCUUUAAGCCUUA
rnacentral:tRNA from 1 species